ensembl:rRNA 5S_rRNA 5S ribosomal RNA
GUUUACAGUCACACUACUCUGAAUGUCCUCAAUCACAUUUGAUCUCAGAAACUAAGAAGGGUUGGGCCUAGUUCAUACUUGGAUGGGAAAAAUCAUGCAAGUAAGAAGAUGAAAUGA